UUACGGUCAUAGCAUGUUGAAACCCCGGUUCUCGUACUAUCACCGAAGUUAAGCAUCGUUGAGCCUGGUCAGUACCAUGAGGAAUAACCGCUUGAGAAUGCAAGGGGUUGUAA